AUUUGGAGUUCGGGUUUUUGAGAUAUAAGGAAAAUAGUUUUCGGGUGCUUGUAAAUUAGGGUUUGGAGUGUCUACUAGGGUUUCUUAGAUGCCAGAAGAUCGGGAGUGAAUUUGCGGUUGAUUUUUUUGGUGGUACAAGUUAAGGGUAAAUUCUACCUAUCUUGUAAAUUUGAAAUAAACUGAACGGUUAGAUCAAUAGUUAUGAUUUUCUAAAUUUUGGGGAAAAAAAAACCCUUCGCGAGAAAAAUAUGUUUUGAAGGGAAUUUGUUAUAUUUGGAGUUUUAUACAAAAAUUUAGGAGUUUUGGAAGCCAAGAAAAGAAUCAUAUAAAGGUUUAAGGUACACUCUCUAUAGUUAGAUACUCAGUGUAUUCCCAGAUAGCGUUCUCGAGCAGGAAAGCACGUAAUACGACAACGUUCAACUGAGUUGGUGGGAUCAUGGUCUAAUUACUAAAUUUUUGUUGCCUUUGCCAAUUCCAACAAUUAG
rnacentral:lncRNA from 1 species